rnacentral:lncRNA from 1 species
GCGCGUGGGACCUACGCGGUGGGUCCACCGAUCGCACGGCCGUUGAUGGUGAUCGGUUGGUGGGCCCAGGGGAAGCCCGUGACGCCGUGGGCCACGUCUCGGAGAAGUCUUGGACGAAACGACACGCCCAAGUGUGGCCGUUUUGUGGUCCAUUGGGUCCAUCAAUUGCGACAGUCCGAUCGAUGGACCUGACGCGUUUCGGGCUGGGCGACCGGGCACGUGGUGGACCGGUUCCACGGUGGUCGUCAUCCGACGCGGUUGAGAGUUGACACCUGGGACCAACGGGAACCCC